UACGGAGGGCGCGAGCGUUAAUCGGAAUUACUGGGCGUAAAGCGCGCGUAGGCUGUUGUGUAAGUUGGGGGUGAAAUCCCACGGCUCAACCGUGGAACAGCCCUUGAUACUGCGCGACUUGAAUCCGGGAGAGGGUGGCGGAAUUCCACGUGUAGCAGUGAAAUGCGUAGAUAUGUGGAAGAACACCGAUGGCGAAGGCAGCCUCCUGGGACGCAACUGACGCUCAUACACGAAAGCGUGGGGAGCAAACAGG
rnacentral:rRNA from 1 species